GCCUCCCCGCGCAUCCCUAAAGCCUUGUGCCGCCUUCUCUCCCCUCCCCACACAUCCCCUAAAGCCUUUUGCUCCCUUUCCUCCCCUUCGCGGAGGGUGCAGCCUCCUCGCGCAUCCCCUGAAACCUUGUGCCCCUUUCCCUCCCCUCCCGGAGCGUGCAACCUCUCCGCACAUCCUCUAAAUCCUUGUGCCCCCUUCUCUCCCUUCCCCGCGCAUCCCCUAAAUCCUUGUGCCCCGCGCAGCAUCCCCGCGCAUCCCCUAAAAGCCGGCGGAGGAGGGAAAUCAGGGCUGGUCCCUGCUCCCCCGAGAGUGUCUUUGCCACUCUCGCCCGAGGCAGGCGGAUGGAGGGUCCCUGCCCGGGUGGGGAUGUGGGACCAGGCGGUGUCCGAGGGGCUCUGCUGGCCCCCCAAGGCACCAGGAGUCGGGGCAGUCCCCAUCCCGGGGCAUCCCAUGCUGGGGAGCAGGGAGCGAGGGAGUCAGCCAGGGAGCCCCGCUUCCCUUGAGGAGCGCUGGAAUCACCAUUUGUGAACUUUAUAGCGUCAGGGAGGAGUGAUGAGCCGUCUUAAACUAAAUUCUAUCAGUUUUUCUCUUAGCGGCUCGUAGCGAAGGGGAAAAAAAGGCUCCUCCUGCCUUUCAGUGAUUGGUAUUCCAUACCUGGCACAUGGGCUGCUUUCAGAGGACAGCUAUCGUGUAUAUCUGCUUUUGCCCAGCCUUGGUGCUAAAUCAGACCAUCUAUGAUCCAUCUAGCAAGAGGAAGGCAAAAAUAAUUUGAAAGGAAUGAAAGUCUUUCGGUUUCUUUUUUUUUUCUAGUUUGGAAGGGGCUAAACUCACUUGCCCACCUGUAAUUGAGAAGUAUCAAUACCUGAGCGUUUACCCAUCUAAUUUGCCUCUUAUGUAUUUGGUGCGGCUGAUUCUUCUACAAGCUUGUCUACACAAAAAUUGGGAUACAGAAUGGAGCUCUUCUGGCUGUGAUCCAAACUACCAUGGUGGAAAAGCAGCUCUCAUCUAGAACUGGGAGCACAUAAGAAUACAGUUACCCAUACUAGUUCUCCAAGAAAUGUGAGGACCCGGUGCUUCACAAAUCCUAGCAACAGCAAAGACUUCUGCGAAAGGACAUGGAGAUGGGAAGAUGGGCAGUGGCCCAUGAUAUGGACAAAUGGAAGACCAGGACUUAGUGUUAGGGAUUUCAGCAACAGGUAUAAUACUGAAAAACGACCAUGAAGGACUUUUAAGUGUUGGAAAGAUUGGUGUCUGAGAGAAGCAAGAAGAACCAGCUUUACUGGUCAGAGCUGGAGGAGGUAGAUUGAGUUUAUGCUGCUUACCAAGAGAUGUUAGUGUGUUAAGCAACGCAGUUUUAUGGAGUAUUCUGACUUUUAAAAAUAUUCUACAAUGACCCUUUCUUCUCUUGGUAAAUGCAAAAUUUAGUUUUGUUUAAGAAGGCUGUAGGUGACCAACUUGCCACUGACCCCAUAAGGGAAGUACUGCAGAAUGACCAAACUCAACUAGAUUUACAGGAUGGUAAGCAAUUGUCAUGCAUUCACACAGGCAAGGUUUUAAUUAAAUAUUUGCUCAGACAUAAAAAAACCCUUUCACUGACUGGAACCAUUGUCUGUGAAGAAGGUAAAAUGGGGAGUGUCUUUAUAGAAAAUUCAUAAUGUAAAUCUCUAAAUAGGGUAGGAGCAGGGGAAAUAAUACACCAUGGGAAAAAUGAAGGCUAUGGGAGAGUAGAAUAUGAAGUAUAGAUCACGGUCAAGUUUUACUCAGUGUCUUGCCUUUUAAAAUUCUGUAUGGAAUAAGUAUUCACAGAGUUUUGUUGAAAGGGUUUAAGGAGAGGAUAGGUUUGGCGUCAAAAUUUGAGAUAAGAGAACUAGGUAAGGGAAUGAGUGAUCAGAGAAGAUACAUCACAUGUAACAGAGAGCAGAUAGAACAAGACAGGAGGAUUUUGGUGGGAUAAUGCAAUGAGUGAGAACAACUCAUGUGUACACCAGCUGGGAGUUAGUACCUUUGCAAGGUAUGUCACCUAUGGACAAAACCACAAAUGAUAACUCUGGGCUGUUUAUUUGAACAAGCCAAUAGUCUAUUCAUACAAAUAACUUCUUUAAAAACAUAGCUUGAUGUUUUCUCUUGGAAGUGAACAGUGAUGUGAAAUAACGGUAAAACCCCCAUUAAUAAUUCUUCUUUUAUUAAAGCUUCUUCCAACAUCUUGCCAAAUUGUAUCUAAUCUGUUUUGAAAAAAGGAAUAGUUCUGGACAAAUGGAAAUAACAGUAUAUGAAUCACAGAAUGAUUUGAGUUGGCAGGGACCUUAAAGAUCAUCUAAUUCCAACCCCCCUGCAGUGGGCAGGGACACCUCCCACUAGAUCAGGCUGCCCAAGUCCCCAUCCAACCUGGAAAUGAACACCUCCAGGGAUGGGGCAUCCACCACUUCCCUGGGCAACCUGUUCCAGUGCCAGUGCCUCAGCACCAUAAUAUGGAAUAAUAGUGAUGUAGAAAAUAGAAAAAACAAAGUGUUUUGCCAACACACGUGAAGAUGAGCUAUUUUUAAUAUUUGGAAAUAUUUCAAUGCAAUUAUCUGAGAUAAAAUAGGAAAGCCAGAUCCAGUUUGUAUCCCAUAAAAGGAAAACCAAAUAAACAGCAAAGAGGAAAAAUACUGCCCAGGAGGCCUCUGAUCUCUUAUUUCAAUUCCAUGAACGCCCACCUAAAAUCCACUCAAUUUGUUUUUAAAUUGCAGCACUGAAAAAUGCAAAUCAAAUUUCCAGUAUUCAGAAGAGAAUUUUAAUAAUAUAAUAUGGCUAUAACAAGAUAGCAAAAUUGAUUGAUGUUAUUGUUUACCCAGGAAUAUUGAGCACUUACUAAAGUGAAGAAUAAAAUGGCACUUCCUUUCUCACAACCUCGAAGAUGCAAAGAGAGAAUGUAAACAAUCAAAGAUUCACUCCAAUAGAAGUAUGACAGCUUAUAUCAGCUCAGAACAACUCCUGCAAUGCUUUGCACAUCAGGCUUAUGUUAGGAAUUCUCUGAAUCAUGAAUUGAUUAAAUAAAGGAAAACUUUCCUGUAUGUAACAGAAAGUGUGAGAAGGAAACCAUAAUCUCUUCACAGAUCUCAGGGGAAAAAAGGUUAAUAUUUAAAACAUUUUCUUAGCCUUUUUUAUAAUAUCAACACCUUUCAUACAGUACAGGAAAAUCCAUGUGUAAUUCCUAGCAGAAAUUACAUUUGAAAAGGAAUCAAGAAAUAUUUUUUAGACAUAAAGUUUGAUACAAAAUGACAAGCAUAGAAGACAGAAAUCAUAAUGACUCUUACAUAACCUAAAGAUAGCCACUACCUCACACCAUCAUUUUUUGUUUACACAGAUGCCUUUUAUUUUGAAAAUAUUGCGAUGGCAAUUCCAUUGGUGUGUCUGGAAAAAUAUACCUAAGCAUGACAGAAUUAUUACAGAUUAUAACAGUCAAACAUGACCAAGAACUGGCUCUAUGCUUUUAAAACUUACCUACUAAUAUUUUAGUCAGUUUUGUACUAUAUUAUAAAGUAAGACUGUUGGGCUUCUUAUAGUGAAAUUAGUCAUUCCUUCUAUAAAAAACUCCAUAAAGGUGACUAAUCUUUGAUGCAGUUGAAUGCAGGCUGUAAUAAAGUCCAAGUAAAUAACACACGGGCUUUUUUUUUUUGUCUCCAGCAUGAAUGUGCCAGCUUCUUUUUCACUUUUCCUUGAGGCUAAAAGUUUAUCCUUUUUUUUUUGCCAUCCUUAUUAUUACACCCUGGUGUUCAAAAGGUAGAACUGUGCUAGGGGUAACACCACCACCUAUUAAGCUCAUGGUGUGUGCAGACUGUUCCAGAACACCCUGGGGCUACUGCUUUUUGCUGUUACCCACCUGAGGUUUUCCAACAGCAGUGACCUUGGGUUCACUGCAGACUCAGGGAACACUGUCUUGUGGAAGAUCUGUGGUGGAAAAACUUCUCAUUAAGAAUAAACUUCUGCCAUCUGCCACAAGCCUCAUGUAAACAGCUGAACCAAAACAUCUCAUCUUUCCUGGAUCCUGAGUGCUUCCAACAAAAUUAAGAUAAUGACCAAUGAUAGCCAGAAAAAAAACCAGGCAAAGACUACUGAAAACAGAAUAAUUCAAUGCCAUUCUCAUGAAGCACUAAACAAGAAGCAGAAAAACGAGCAGGUAGAAGUCAUCGCAGCAGCUCCCCUUUUUCUUGCUUGCUUGAUAUAUGCUUUUGGGUGACUUUGUAGUGUUCAUGGCACAUGUACUGUACCAGGAAUAGUCUAGGAAUGAAGCACAGCUCCUCGGCUCAGUGUAGCCACUUUCUGGCAUCUGUGGAACUUUUCAUUCAUUUUUUUGUUUUAAUAGGAUAAACACAACUAAUUUACACAAUUUAGGGAACAUGCUACAGUUUAAGAAAUGUAAAUGCAGUAUAAAUGCACUAAGGUGGGUGACAGAGUCUUUCAGCCCCAGUAUUUGGACUCUAUGCCAUCCCACUAGCAUCUCAAAAUCUCUCUACAGGCUGGCUGUUGGGGCUGUGAGGUGGGAGGCAAGUUAAAGGUACAGAAGGAUGGCUGGCUGAGGGGGCAGGGUUACAGCAGCUGCCUCUGGGGUGGGUAAACAGCAGAAGAGGUUGCUCUGCAUGAGGGAAAGAGUGAGGUGAGGAGGGAGAGGGAUGGAACAGGUUUUGUAUGGAUUUCAACAAGAAAGCCUAAACGACAAAUGACUCAAUAAAAUCACAGGUUUUGUAAGAUAGGAUGAGAAGAGGAAUACAGACAGUGAGUACAUCUUACAUCCUUUCAGGUGUUGGGCACCCCAUGUUCAUGCAGCGUAGGAUGGAGCCCAGAUGGAUUUCCCCAAGGGAUGCUACGCAGAGCAGAUCCUGUCCAUGGAAAGACACUCUCCCCCAUUUGAUCUUUUGAGCUGCUACAGGAUUUCCUCACAAAAAAACUACUUUAUUCCAAAAGGACGUUCACAUGAGAACUUCUUACUGCACAUUUGGAUAAAGGCAAGGUCACACAGGAGAUGAAACUGCUCGUAUAACAUGGGAACUGCCUUCAGGCAGCUCCAUGACUGUGAUGUGGCUGAGGUGACCCCAUGGGCAGGGAAUGUGUGCAGCCCAAGGUCCCUGCUGGGUAAGCAGCCUGUCACCACCUGUGCCUACCCUGGGGUAACAGUGAAAGGGUUUGCUUGCUUCUCCAUGGGCAACCCUCUCCCCGGCAGGAGCACUGUGUUCCAUCCCUUGAUCCGCACACAAUCUACCUUUCUCAAUGGUAUUCUAAGUUACUGAUUAUCUGAGUAGGCUGUCCAGCUAACAGACAGUUUCCCAACAGGCUGGAAGGUUACCUCUGUCCUAGGAGCCACCAGUGCAUCUCGGUCUGGAGUAAGGCAGCAAGCUCCCAUGCAGCAGCUGCCGAUGCUAACAAACAGGCUGCUCAAGCCCUAUGUAUAACGCCCAGUAGAGCAAGCACGUUCAGGAUUGCUACCUCCUCAAAUAUGAUGUCUUCUUCAAGGCACACAAUGCAGAGGUCAGGGCAACAAGGAAAGGAACAGGAGAUGAGAAAAGCAGAUGAGAAGGAAAAAAGUUUGUAGAAGGUAAGAACAGACUGGAAAUAGAGUUAUCUGUACAUCAUCUAUUCCAACUCCUCUGCUCAAAUAGGGCAAGAGGCUUCAGCCCAGAGAGAACUCCAGAAGGAUGCAGCUCUCCAAGUCCUGAGCUGCAGGGAAUGAUUAGGGCUUCUCAUGGAGGCUGGGGCCUCAGGAUAUUGUUUUCUAGCCUGUAAGAGGUGUGUGCUUAUUCAAGAUCUGUGCCACGAGGUUAAGGACCUGCAUGAAAUCAGCAGACUGUGCAGCAUCAGACGAGAAGAAACUCAGAGGAAAUGGAUCUUCUCUGAGACCUUGUAGCUUCGAGAGCCUGAAAUAAGAGACUGGAAUAGAGUGGGUGGAUGCAGCUUUCUUCAUCUACAGAAGAUGGUUUGAAGCAAAAGAAAAGUAUUGUUGUUGCUGAUUACAUGGUGGAUGGACUUUUUGGAUGAAAGAAAUAAGAGAACUGGGGAAGGAAUUAUGAGAAAUGUCGCAAUUUACCUCAUCAGUAUUCCUAACUGAAAUGACAAAUUUUCUUGUAUUCAAACUGAUGUAAAAAUUCACUCUAGACUUACAUAAGUUUAGUUUUGUUGAUAGUUAAUGCAGCAUGAAAAGUAAACAUCUACUCUUUAAGUAUUAUUACCACUGAUUGUGCAGAAUUUCGCUUCUCAUGAACGAAUUUCAGUGUUCACUGCAGGCUUUUUGUUAUACGUCCCUUCUGCUGGUUCUUUCAUACAAAGCUAUUUGCAGAAUGUUCUGCAAGGCUCACUAGUGCAGAUUGCUUUCCUCUCAUUCUCUAGACAUUCCUGCUUCAGUAUUUUCUUCUUUAAAUGGUUAUAUUUGUUUCCAGAAAUGCAAAGAAAAAUGAAACAAAACAACUUGCUUCAAAUUAUCAUUUGAGAGUUAAAACUGGACUGCUUAGAAAUGCCAGCUUGAGUUUCAUUGCAUGUAAAUGUUCAAAUGAUUAAACUGAUGCAGUUUUCACUGUUUCUAUAAAAUAUUCUUUCAUUUUUUUUCCAUUUCAUCAUGUUUUUCUGAUGCAAAGUUAUUUUCAUUUUUUUCUAUUUCAUUCAGUGAGUCAAAUUAACUGUGUCAUUUGUGAAUUAAGCAAAACAAUGUAGGCGUGGGUCCUCCAAAGCAUUUACGUGAUUGAACAGAAAUUGGGUUCACUAUGGUGAUUUGGACCUUGAUCUUAGCAUUCCUCCUCACCUAUUCAACAGUUACUUUGACAAACCAGGCAGGUUUUUUCUCAUGUGGUGGUAACAGAAUGACAUACCAAACUGGCGGUUUUCUUCAUUUGGGAGGUAGGAAAUAAGAAUGGUAAAAAACCUGCUCCAGUGCCUCACCACCCUCAUUGUGAAGAAUUUCUUCCUAAUGUCCAAUCUAAGUCUUCCCCCUCACAAUUUAUAGCCAUUCCUCUUCAUCCUGUCACUACAUGCCCAUGUAAAAAGCCCCUCCCCAGCUUUCUUGUAGGCCCCCUUCAUGUACUGGAAGGUUGCUAUAAGGUCUCCCUGGAGCCUUCUCUUCUCCAGGCUGAGUAAACCCAACUCUCUUGGGCUGCCCUCAUAGCAGAGGUGCUCCAGCCCUCUGAUCAUCUUCGUAGCCCUCCUCUGGACCUGUUUCAACAGUUCCAUAUCCUUCUUAUGUUGAGGAUUUCAGAACUGGACACAGUAUUCCAGGUGGGGUCUCAUGAGAGCGGAGUAGAGGGGGAGAAUCACCUCCCUCAACCUGCUGGCCACGCUUCUUUUGAUGCAGUCCAGGAUAUAGUUGGUCUUCUGGGCUGCAAGUCCACACUGCUGACUCAUGUCAAGCUUCUCAUCAAUAGGCACCUCCAAAUCCUUCUCCGCAGAGCUGCUUACAAUCAUGUCAUCCACCAUCCUGCAUUGAAACCGUGGACUGUCCUGACCUAGGUACCUCUAGUUGAAAUCUUGUCCUUCUGGCAUGACAACUGCACCACUGAGCUUGGUGUCAUCUGCAAACUUGCUGAGGGUGCACU